rnacentral:rRNA from 1 species
CCGCAAGGCGUGGCAUACGGCUCAGUAACACGUAGUCAACAUGCCCAAAGGACGUGGAUAACCUCGGGAGACUGAGGAUAAACCGCGAUAGGCCAAGGUUUCUGGAAUGAUCCCUGGCCGAAAUCUAUAUGGCCUUUGGAUUGGACUGCGGCCGAUCAGGCUGUUGGUGAGGUAAUGGCCCACCAAACCUGUAACCGGUACGGGCUUUGAGAGAAGGAGCCCGGAGAUGGGCACUGAGACAAGGGCCCAGGCCCUAUGGGGCGCAGCAGGCGCGAAACCUCUGCAAUAGGCGAAAGCCUGACAGGGUUACUCUGAGUGAUGCCCGCUAAGGGUAUCUUUUGGCACCUCUAAAAAUGGUGCAGAAUAAGGGGCGGGCAAGUCUGGUGUCAGCCGCCGCGGUAAUACCAGCACCCCGAGUUGUCGGGACGAUUAUUGGGCCUAAAGCAUCCGUAGCCUGUUCUGCAAGUCCUCCGUUAAAUCCACCUGCUCAACGGAUGGGCCGCGGAGGAUACCGCAGAGCUAGGAGGCGGGAGAGGCAAACGGUACUCAGUGGGUAGGGGUAAAAUCCAUUGAUCUACUGAAGACCACCAGUGGCGAAGGCGGUUUGCCAGAACGCGCUCGACGGUGAGGGAUGAAAGCUGGGGGAGCAAACCGGAUUAGAUACCCGGGUAGUCCCAGCUGUAAAC